rnacentral:rRNA from 1 species
UGGGGAAUCUUCCGCAAUGGACGAAAGUCUGACGGAGCAACGCCGCGUGAGUGAUGACGGCCUUCGGGUUGUAAAGCUCUGUUAAUCGGGACGAAAGGCCUUCUUGCGAAUAGUUAGAAGGAUUGACGGUACCGGAAUAGAAAGCCACGGCUAACUACGUGCCAGCAGCCGCGGUAAUACGUAGGUGGCAAGCGUUGUCCGGAAUUAUUGGGCGUAAAGCGCGCGCAGGCGGAUUGGUCAGUCUGUCUUAAAAGUUCGGGGCUUAACCCCGUGAUGGGAUGGAAACUGCCAAUCUAGAGUAUCGGAGAGGAAAGUGGAAUUCCUAGUGUAGCGGUGAAAUGCGUAGAUAUUAGGAAGAACACCAGUGGCGAAGGCGACUUUCUGGACGAAAACUGACGCUGAGGCGCGAAAGCCAGGGGAGCGAACGGGAUUAGAUACCCCGGUAGUCCUGGCCGUAAACGAUGAGGUACUAGGUGUAGGAGGUAUCGACCCCUUCUGUGCCGGGAGUUAACGCAAUAAGUACCCCGCCUGGGGAGUACGACCGCAAGGUUG